AAGUCGUAACAAGGUUUCCGUAGGUGAACCUGCGGAAGGAUCAUUAUUAUUUGGGUCGGGUUUACCUCUUGUCUAGUUUUUUGUGCUCAAUAAUUCAAGUAGGAGGUAAACUUUUACCAAAUAAAUCCUAUUUCCAAAUAGGAGCAAGAACCCUUAUAUUUAAAACCCACUCUUAAAAUAUUAUUUAUGUAUUUUGAAUGAUAAAAAUAAAGAUCACUUUCAACAACGGAUCUCUUGGCUCUC
rnacentral:misc_RNA from 1 species